UCCGGUUAUUCUUGACAAUCAAUGCGAACAAAAUAUUGACGUUUCUCCAACUCCUUCAAACUAUUUGCAGCCUGAAUCGGAAGAAAAGAAAUUUGAAAGGGUUAGCGAGAACGUUAUUAAAUUCCUAACAAGUAUGCACUCAAACUAUAAUUUUUCAAGAAAAGAUGUUACUUUUAUUUAUGGUAAUGUCAUUGAUGCAGUCGUUAACCCGUUUUUGGAAGUAAUAAAUGCCUUUGCAAAAGACUUAGAUAAUAAUUUGUCCACAAAAUUAUCAAUAUUACUAUCAAAAUAUUCUGCAAUUUUAGAAAAGCUUAAAACGGAGUAUUUGCUUUCCGAAAAACUAAAAGAGAUUAAUCUUCUUCAAGGUCUAAAAGAAACGGUGAUUGAUCAAAGAGAAACACUAGCUCAUACUAAAGUUUCAAAAUGUCUGAAACAAACUCGGAGACUUUGAGCUGUGGGGAAGAAGAUGCUUUGAAAAACUUACUUAUAACAUGGGGUAUAGAAGACAAAUUGGACAUACUCAUACGUGAACAUAUUUCUAUUGAUAUUUUGAAAAUACUAACUGAGGAACAUGUAAAAGAGCUGACACAGAAUUGGAGAAUUGGAGACAAGGCCCAGUUCAUUCACCAUUUCACAAAGUGGAGACAUGAUAUUAACCAUCCAUUUUGGGCAGAAUGUUCAAGUCCUCUAGUUUUUCCCAAAAAAGCCGAUUCGUGUAACUCAUCUGAUACGGAAGAAGUCGAUAACGUCAAUAUGUUGGAGAUAUUACAAGGUAAUAA